AUUGAACGCUGGCGGCAUGCCUUACACAUGCAAGUCGAACGGCAGCGGGGGAGAAGCUUGCUUUUCCUGCCGGCGAGUGGCGAACGGGUGAGUAAUACAUCGGAACGUGCCCUGUAGUGGGGGAUAACUAGUCGAAAGAUUAGCUAAUACCGCAUACGACCUGAGGGUGAAAGUGGGGGACUGCAAGGCCUCAUGCUAUAGGAGCGGCCGAUGUGUGAUUAGCUAGUUGGUGGGGUAAGGGCCUACAAAGGCGAAGAUCAGUAGCUGGUCUGAGAGGAGGAUCAGCCACACUGGGACUGAGACACGGCCCAGACUCCUACGGGAGGCAGCAGUGGGGAAUUUUGGACAAUGGGCGAAAGCCUGAUGCAGCAAUGCCGCGUGUGUGAAGAAGGCCUUCGGGUUGUAAAGCACUUUUGUCCGGAAAGAAAUGGCUCUGGUUAAUACCUGGGGUCGAUGACGGUACCGGAAGAAUAAGGACCGGCUAACUACGUGCCAGCCGCCGCCGUAA
rnacentral:rRNA from 1 species